rnacentral:rRNA from 1 species
GACGAACGCUGGCGGCGUGCUUAACACAUGCAAGUCGAACGGAAAGGCCCUGCUUUUGUGGGGUGCUCGAGUGGCGAACGGGUGAGUAACACGUGAGUAACCAGCCCUUGACUUUGGGAUAACUUCAGGAAACUGGGGCUAAUACCGGAUAGGAGCUCCUGCUGCAUGGUGGGGGUUGGAAAGUUUCGGCGGUUGGGGAUGGACUCGCGGCUUAUCAGCUUGUUGGUGGGGUAGUGGCUUACCAAGGCUUUGACGGGUAGCCGGCCUGAGAGGGUGACCGGCCACAUUGGGACUGAGAUACGGCCCAGACUCCUACGGGAGGCAGCAGUGGGGAAUAUUGCACAAUGGGCGGAAGCCUGAUGCAGCAACGCCGCGUGCGGGAUGACGGCCUUCGGGCUGUAAACCGCUUUCGCCUGUGACGAAGCGUGAGUGACGGUAAUGGGUAAAGAAGCACCGGCUAACUACGUG